GAGAUUUGGAAGUGCUCGCAAGAGAACCGGAACACAGGUGCUGCAUGGCUGUCGUCAGCUCGUGUCGUGAGAUGUUGGGUUAAGUCCCGCAACGAGCGCAACCCUUGUCAUUAGUUGCUACGAAAGGGCACUCUAAUGAGACUGCCGGUGACAAACCGGAGGAAGGUGGGGAUGACGUCAAGUCCUCAUGGCCCUUAUGGGUAGGGCUUCACACGUCAUACAAUGGUCGGGACAGAGGGUCGCCAACCCGCGAGGGGGAGCCAAUCCCAGAAACCCGAUCGUAGUCCGGAUCGCAGUCUGCAACUCGACUGCGUGAAGUCGGAAUCGCUAGUAAUCGCGGAUCAGCAUGUCGCGGUGAAUACGUUCCCGGGUCUUGUACACACCGCCCGU
rnacentral:rRNA from 1 species